rnacentral:rRNA from 1 species
AGUGAACGCUGGCGGCAGGCCUAAUACAUGCAAGUCGAACGGCAGCACAGCAGAGCUUGCUCUGUGGGUGGCGAGUGGCGGACGGGUGAGGAAUACAUGGGAAUCUGCCCAGUCGUGGGGGAUAACGUAUGGAAACGUACGCUAAUACCGCAUGCGCCCUAAGGGGGAAAGCCGGGGACCGCAAGGCCUGGCGCGAUUGGAUGAGCCCAUGUUCGAUUAGCUAGUUGGCGGGGUAAAGGCCCACCAAGGCGACGAUCGAUAGCUGGUCUGAGAGGAUGAUCAGCCACACUGGAACUGAGACACGGUCCAGACUCCUACGGGAGGCAGCAGUAGGGAAUAUUGGACAAUGGGGGCAACCCUGAUCCAGCCAUGCCGCGUGAGUGAAGAAGGCCCUCGGGUUGUAAAGCUCUUUUGUCCGGAAAGAAAGCAAUCGGUUAAUACCCGGUUGUUCUGACGGUACCGGAAGAAUAAGCACCGGCUAACUUCGUGC